GACGAACCGAGCGAACGUUGUUCGGAAUCACUGGGCUUAAAGGGCGCGUAGGCGGGCUGUCAAGUCUGGGGUGAAAUCCCACGGCUCAACCGUGGAACUGCCUUAGAUACUGACGGCCUCGAGGGAGAUAGGGGCGAGCGGAACUGUGAGUGGAGCGGUGAAAUGCGUUGAUAUUCACAGGAACUCCGGUGGCGAAGGCGGCUCGCUGGAUCUUUUCUGACGCUGAGGCGCGAAGGCGUGGGGAGCGAACGGG
rnacentral:rRNA from 1 species